rnacentral:rRNA from 1 species
AAAUUGAAGAGUUUGAUCAUGGCUCAGAUUGAACGCUGGCGGCAGGCCUAACACAUGCAAGUCGAGCGGUAGCACAGAGAGCUUGCUCUCGGGUGACGAGCGGCGGACGGGUGAGUAAUGUCUGGGAAACUGCCUGAUGGAGGGGGAUAACUACUGGAAACGGUAGCUAAUACCGCAUAAUGUCGCAAGACCAAAGUGGGGGACCUUCGGGCCUCAUGCCAUCAGAUGUGCCCAGAUGGGAUUAGCUAGUAGGUGGGGUAACGGCUCACCUAGGCGACGAUCCCUAGCUGGUCUGAGAGGAUGACCAGCCACACUGGAACUGAGACACGGUCCAGACUCCUACGGGAGGCAGCAGUGGGGAAUAUUGCACAAUGGGCGCAAGCCUGAUGCAGCCAUGCCGCGUGUGUGAAGAAGGCCUUCGGGUUGUAAAGCACUUUCAGCGGGGAGGAAGGCGUUAAGGUUAAUAACCUUGGCGAUUGACGUUACCCGCAGAAGAAGCACCGGCUAACUCCGUGCCAGCAGCCGCGGUAAUACGGAGGGUGCAAGCGUUAAUCGGAAUUACUGGGCGUAAAGCGCACGCAGGCGGUCUGUCAAGUCGGAUGUGAAAUCCCCGGGCUCAACCUGGGAACUGCAUUCGAAACUGGCAGGCUAGAGUCUUGUAGAGGGGGUAGAAUUCCAGGUGUAGCGGUGAAAUGCGUAGAGAUCUGGAGGAAUACCGGUGGCGAAGGCGGCCCCUGGACAAAGACUGACGCUCAGGUGCGAAAGCGUGGGGAGCAAACAGGAUUAGAUACCCUGGUAGUCCACGCCGUAAACGAUGUCGAUUUGGAGGUUGUGCCCUUGAGGCGUGGCUUCCGGAGCUAACGCGUUAAAUCGACCGCCUGGGGAGUACGGCCGCAAGGUUAAAACUCAAAUGAAUUGACGGGGGCCCGCACAAGCGGUGGAGCAUGUGGUUUAAUUCGAUGCAACGCGAAGAACCUUACCUGGUCUUGACAUCCACAGAACUUAGCAGAGAUGCUUUGGUGCCUUCGGGAACUGUGAGACAGGUGCUGCAUGGCUGUCGUCAGCUCGUGUUGUGAAAUGUUGGGUUAAGUCCCGCAACGAGCGCAACCCUUAUCCUUUGUUGCCAGCGGUCCGGCCGGGAACUCAAAGGAGACUGCCAGUGAUAAACUGGAGGAAGGUGGGGAUGACGUCAAGUCAUCAUGGCCCUUACGACCAGGGCUACACACGUGCUACAAUGGCAUAUACAAAGAGAAGCGACCUCGCGAGAGCAAGCGGACCUCAUAAAGUAUGUCGUAGUCCGGAUUGGAGUCUGCAACUCGACUCCAUGAAGUCGGAAUCGCUAGUAAUCGUAGAUCAGAAUGCUACGGUGAAUACGUUCCCGGGCCUUGUACACACCGCCCGUCACACCAUGGGAGUGGGUUGCAAAAGAAGUAGGUAGCUUAACCUUCGGGAGGGCGCUUACCACUUUGUGAUUCAUGACUGGGGUGAAGUCGUAACAAGGUAACCGUAGGGGAACCUGCGGUUGGAUCACCUCCUUA